ACCUCCCCGUGUCAGGAUUGGGUA
rnacentral:siRNA from 1 species